AGAGUUUGAUCCUGGCUCAGAAUGAACGCUGGCGGCGUGCCUAAAACAUGCAAGUCGAACGAGAAAGUAGCAAUAUGAGUAAAGUGGCGCACGGGUGAGUAAUACUUGGAUAAUGCGCCUCCUCGCUGGGGAUAACUAGGCGAAAGCUUGGCUAAUACCGAAUAGUUCGAUUGAGACUCUGGUCUUGAUCGAUAAAGCCGUAAGGCGCGGGGAGAGUAGUUCAAGUCCCAUCAGCUAGUUGGUAGGGUAAUGGCCUACCAAGGCUACGAUGGGUAGCUGGUCUGAGAGGACGAUCAGCCACACUGGUACUGGAACACGGACCAGACUCCUACGGGAGGCAGCAGUUAGGAAUUUUGCGCAAUGGGGGAAACCCUGACGCAGCAACGCCGCGUGAAGGAUGAAGGCCUUUGGGUUGAAAACUUCUUUUAGCAGGAAAGAAAAAAAUGACGGUACCUGCAGAAAAAGCACCGGCUAACUCUGAGCCAACAGACGUGGUAAUACAGUAGGGUGCAAGCGUUAUUCGGAAUUACUGGUCGUAAAGAGCG
rnacentral:rRNA from 1 species